GGGUCCCGCGCGGGGUCCGUGCCCGCUCUGGAGGAACCGCGGGCCCUGAGCACCUGCUCUCUCUCCUCUCGCCCUCGGAGGUCGAGAAAAGCGUUCGACUGACGUGACCAGAGCCGAGUAGGAACUGGCUGGGGUCGUAUUGGGAGCGCAAGGUGGGGAGAGCUGGGUCGCGACUUCGUUUCGAGAGGAGUCGGGGCGGACUGUCCUCCAAGUCUUUAGUUGCCAGAGCCCUUUUGACAGAAGUUGUGGGGACACGGUGUCCAUCUGCAUGUGUGCCUACAUGAAGCCUGCGCUCCACUGCUGUGAUCAGUGGACAAGCCUUGGAUCUGGACGCAGCAUAUGGAGAUGCCUGUCUGCUCUGCCACCUCAGAGGCUUGUGAGGCUCGAAUGAAAUGAUGCGCACACAGCUGACUCACACCUGAAAAGCCCAAAUAGAAGCGAUGAAAAAGGAAGACCAAGUUGACUAAAUGCUUCCCGUUUGAAGUUCAUCUCUCUCUGAAGGGGACAUAUACACCCUGAGCCGGACAUCAAAGCUUUCAGCAUUUGCAGAGAUGUUCCAAGGUCUCCCUGGCCAAGACAACAGAACGAGGCUUCUUGACCCACCUGGGCUCGAACACAACCCCAACCUCACGGGUAUUCAGCUCACCAACCACGGACAAUUCAGCCUCGCUGGAGUCACCAGCAACGCUCCGAGCAACAACCCCGGGCAAAGCAACCCUGAGGCGCUUAAGACUUCAAAACCUAGAUGGUAGCCCUCAAAGACAAGUCUGGAGUCGCGAAACGGGAUAAAGAAAGUUGACAAAUACGUUUUUUUAGUUUAUUCUAUUAAACGUUAACAAAAGACACGUGCUAGCUGUUAAAGGAACUCUGGGCGAGGAGAAAUCAUCUUGUUUUCAGUGGGUGGGAAAAGUUUCGUGGAGAAGAUGUGACAAUAUCUGGGGUUUAAAGAGUACAAGUUGCAAGGGGACCUGGAGGGCAAGGAUAAUAGAGAAGCAAAACA